rnacentral:lncRNA from 1 species
GAUGCAUCCUUUUGAUGUCGUAAUCUGCCAGAGCGCGUCCAUCGUUGAUCCUGGAUCUUUGCCUUGACACCGUGGAUGGUCUCUGAUGGAUCGACACCGAUGAUAGCUGUCCUGCGGAUCAUGGUCUCGAACUUCUGUAAUCUCAACAUAUAGUAUAGCAUGGGACAACAGUUGUUGUUUCACUCAUGCAAAACUCGUAACGAUGCCUGCUUUAGGAAAGUUUUCCCUGCUGUUCCCACUAGUGCGAUUUCUGUUAUUGCUCUGUACUUACCAUUCUGGGCAAAUUUUCAGAAACCAAGACUUUGAAAAUGACAGUGCGGCGGAGCAAGGUUGCCGGUGGAGAUGGCCACUGAGGUGUUCCAUCGACGACUCAUGAUAAAUUCUUGAGCAACUUGUUGCCUCGUGGUUUGAUGGUCCGGCUAGCUUCUGCUGUUCUGUUUUGCGCUGUUGGUUGUUAAUCUUCAGAAUUGUUCUUGUUCCCUGGGUGUGGGAGGAUGUCUCUGCUGUGAUGCGUUGGUCCUUUUUAUGGUGCUGAGUUGAUAGCUCUUCAUAGUUUGAUAUCCUUCCAGUGUUCGUUAGCCUCUGUGCUUCCGCAAAAAACCUGGUGUACAAUUUUGCUGGGUCGUGAACUGGUUGGGUUGCAUUUGUGUUAUCAAUUUCAGCAAAUGAAAUUAGGAGCAAGGCUCUGUUUCUAAAAAAAGAAAAGAAAAUGAAAAGCCACCGUCAGGAAUUAGAACUUGUUCGGAUUCAAGGACUAAUUAACAGCAAGGGUGACUUGGUGAGAAAUCCUGUUUUG